rnacentral:rRNA from 1 species
CUCCUUCGACGAGUCGAGUAGUUUGGGAAUGCUGCUCUAAAUGGGAGGUAUAUGUCUUCUAAAGCUAAAUACCGGCCAGACCGAUAGCGAACAAGUAGAGUGAUCGAAAGAUGAAAAGAACUUUGAAAAGAGAGUUAAAAAGUACGUGAAAUUGUUGAAAGGGAAGCGCUUGUGACCAGACUUGGGCUUGGUUGAUCAUCCGGGGUUCUCCCCGGUGCACUCUUCCGGCUCAGGCCAGCAUCAGUUCGCCCUGGGGGAUAAAGGCUUCGGGAAUGUGGCUCUCUCCGGGGAGUGUUAUAGCCCGCUGCGUAAUACCCUGUGGCGGACUGAGGUCGAGCAUCGCUAGGUGCGGCG